AGAGUUUGAUCCUGGCUCAGGACGAACGCUGGCGGCGUGCUUAACACAUGCAAGUCGAACGGAAAGGCCCUGCUUUUGUGGGGUGCUCGAGUGGCGAACGGGUGAGUAACACGUGAGUAACCUGCCCUUGACUUUGGGAUAACUUCAGGAAACUGGGGCUAAUACCGGAUAGGAGCUCCUGCUGCAUGGUGGGGGUUGGAAAGUUUCGGCGGUUGGGGAUGGACUCGCGGCUUAUCAGCUUGUUGGUGGGGUAGUGGCUUACCAAGGCUUUGACGGGUAGCCGGCCUGAGAGGGUGACCGGCCACAUUGGGACUGAGAUACGGCCCAGACUCCUACGGGAGGCAGCAGUGGGGAAUAUUGCACAAUGGGCGGAAGCCUGAUGCAGCAACGCCGCGUGCGGGAUGACGGCCUUCGGGUUGUAAACCGCUCUCGCCUGUGACGAAGCGUGAGUGACGGUAAUGGGUAAAGAAGCACCGGCUAACUACGUGCCAGCAGCCGCGGUGAUACGUAGGGUGCGAGCGUUGUCCGGAUUUAUUGGGCGUAAAGGGCUCGUAGGUGGUUGAUCGCGUCGGAAGUGUAAUCUUGGGGCUUAACCCUGAGCGUGCUUUCGAUACGGGUUGACUUGAGGAAGGUAGGGGAGAAUGGAAUUCCUGGUGGAGCGGUGGAAUGCGCAGAUAUCAGGAGGAACACCAGUGGCGAAGGCGGUUCUCUGGGCCUUUCCUGACGCUGAGGAGCGAAAGCGUGGGGAGCGAACAGGCUUAGAUACCCUGGUAGUCCACGCUGUAAACGGUGGGUACUAGGUGUGGGGUCCAUUCCACGGGUUCCGUGCCGUAGCUAACGCUUUAAGUACCCCGCCUGGGGAGUACGGCCGCAAGGCUAAAACUCAAAGGAAUUGACGGGGCCCCGCACAAGCGGCGGAGCAUGCGGAUUAAUUCGAUGCAACGCGUAGAACCUUACCUGGGUUUGACAUGGAUCGGGAGUGCUCAGAGAUGGGUGUGCCUCUUUUGGGGUCGGUUCACAGGUGGUGCAUGGCUGUCGUCAGCUCGUGUCGUGAGAUGUUGGGUUAAGUCCCGCAACGAGCGCAACCCUUGUUCACUGUUGCCAGCACGUUAUGGUGGGGACUCAGUGGAGACCGCCGGGGUCAACUCGGAGGAAGGUGGGGAUGACGUCAAGUCAUCAUGCCCCUUAUGUCCAGGGCUUCACGCAUGCUACAAUGGCUGGUACAGAGAGUGGCGAGCCUGUGAGGGUGAGCGAAUCUCGGAAAGCCGGUCUCAGUUCGGAUUGGGGUCUGCAACUCGACCUCAUGAAGUCGGAGUCGCUAGUAAUCGCAGAUCAGCAACGCUGCGGUGAAUACGUUCCCGGGGCUUGUACACACCGCCCGUCAAGUCAUGAAAGUUGGUAACACCCGAAGCCGGUGGCCUAACCGUUGUGGGGGAGCCGUCGAAGGUGGGACUGGUGAUUAGGACUAAGUCGUAACAAGGUAACCGU
rnacentral:rRNA from 1 species